GCUGGAGCCCGGGCGGGGCAGCGGGGAGCGGUCCUACACUCCUGCCGCCGGCCAGGGUGCAUCUCGCUUCGCGGCUCGCGUUCCCCGCGGCAAAAUGAGGGUUGUUACACAUGAAAUGAGUUAAAGUUCUCUGGAUGAGAUCAUUCCGGAGGAGGACGGGCCCUGAACCCAGUGGCUGGUGUUCUUAUAUGAGAAGAGAGAGACCUGAGGCACAGAAGAAAAGCCUGUGUGGAGGCAGAAGUAUAGACAGAAUGGCGUGGCCACAAGCCUGGGGACGUCGGGGAUGGCAGUACCACCAAAGCGUGGAGGGCCUUGGGACAUGGUCUUCCUCAGAGCCUUCAGGAGCCAGCCCUGCCAAAGCCUUGACUUCAGAUCUCUGGCCUCCAGCACUCUCAUAGGAUGAAGUUCUGUCAUGGGAGAGAGAGUGAGGACAAGCAGGGGGAGAGGCAGAGGGAGAGGCAGAAGCAGGCUCCC